rnacentral:rRNA from 1 species
UACGUAGGGAGCAAGCGUUGUCCGGAAUCAUUGGGCGUAAAGCGCGCGUAGGUGGCCCGAUAAGUCCGCUCUGAAAGUCACAGGCUCAACCUGUGAAAGCGCGUGGAUACUGUCGGGCUAGAGUCCGGAAGAGGCGAGUGGAAUUCCUUGGUGUAGCGGUGGAAUGCGCCAGAUAUCGGGAAGAACACCCGUGGCGAAGGCGGUUCUCUGGGGACGGUACUUGACGGCUGAAGACGCGAAAGCCGUGG